rnacentral:rRNA from 1 species
GACGAACGCUGGCGGCGUGCCUAAUACAUGCAAGUUGAGCGCUGAAGGUUGGUACUUGUACCAACUGGAUGAGCAGCGCACGGGUGAGUAACGCGUGGGGAAUCUGCCUUUGAGCGGGGGACAACAUUUGGAAACGAAUGCUAAUACCGCAUAAAAACUUUAAACACAAGUUUUAAGUUUGAAAGAUGCAAUUGCAUCACUCAAAGAUGAUCCCGCGUUGUAUUAGCUAGUUGGUGAGGUAAAGGCUCACCAAGGCGAUGAUACAUAGCCGACCUGAGAGGGUGAUCGGCCACAUUGGGACUGAGACACGGCCCAAACUCCUACGGGAGGCAGCAGUAGGGAAUCUUCGGCAAUGGACGAAAGUCUGACCGAGCAACGCCGCGUGAGUGAAGAAGGUUUUCGGAUCGUAAAACUCGGUUGGUAGAGAAGAACGUUGGUGAGAGUGGAAAGCUCAUCAAGUGACGGUAACUACACAGAAAGGGACGGCUAACUACGUG